UACGGAGGGUGCAAGCGUUAUCCAGAUUCACUGGGCUUAAAGGGUGUGUAGGCGGAUAUUUAAGUCAGUGGUGAAAUCUCCAGGCUCAACCUGGAAACUGCCAUUGAUACUAUUUAUCUUGAAUAUCGUUGAGGUAGGCGGAAUAUGUCAUGUAGCGGUGAAAUGCUUAGAGAUGACAUAGAACACCGAUUGCGAAGGCAGCUUACUAAACGAUUAUUGACGCUGAGGCACGAAAGCGUGGGGAUCAAACAGG
rnacentral:rRNA from 1 species